ACUGAAUAGAUACCCGGGUAGUCCACGCCCUAAACGAUGUCGACUGGUUGUUGGGGGUUUGACACUCUCAGUAAACGAAAGCUAAACGCGUGAAGUCGACCGCCUGGGGAGUACGGCCGCAAGGUUAAAACUCAAAGGAAUUGACGGGGACCCGCACAAGCGGUGGAUUAUGUGGAUUAAUUCGAUGCAACGCGAAAAACCUUACCUACCCUUGACAUGUCCUGAAUCCUGGAGAGAUCCGGGGGUGCCCGAAAGGGAACGGGAACACAGGUGCUGCAUGGCUGUCGUCAGCUCGUGUCGUGAGAUGUUGGGUUAAGUCCCGCAACGAGCGCAACCCUUGUCAUUAGUUGCUACCGCAAGGAGCACUCUAAUGAGACUGCCGGUGACAAACCGGAGGAAGGUGGGGAUGACGUCAAGUCCUCAUGGCCCUUAUGGGUAGGGCUUCACACGUAAUACAAUGGUCGGUACAGAGGGUUGCCAAGCCGCGAGGCGGAGCCAAUCCCAGAAAGCCGAUCGUAGUCCGGAUCGCAGUCUGCAACUCGACUGCGUGAA
rnacentral:rRNA from 1 species